rnacentral:rRNA from 1 species
GACGAACGCUGGCGGCGUGCUUAACACAUGCAAGUCGAACGAAGUGGCGGACGGGUGAGUAACGCGUAAUAAACCUGCCCUUCAGAGGGGGACACCAGUUGGAAACGACUGCUAAUACCGCAUACUGAAGGCGGGGGUUGCGUCUGCUUCGCGAGUUGGAGGGGUAACGGCCCACCAAGGCGAGGGUCAGUAGCCGUGCUGGUAGGAUGAACGGCCACAAGGGGACGGGUGCACGGCCCAGAUGCGUACGGGAGGCAUCAGUGGGGAAUCUUCCGAAAUGGACGAAAGUCUGACGGAGCAACGCCGCGGGAGUGAUGACGGCCUUCGGGUGGUAAAGCUCUGUUAAUCGGGACGCGGUACCGGAAUAGAAAGCCACGGCUAACUACGUGCCAGCAGCCGCGGUAAUAC